AAAAGCUGCUGGCAUGUCAGAUUAUGGGUCCGGUCCACAGUUCAGCUGAAGUGCCUGGUGGGAUCACCAGCUCAUGUAGCAUAAGGUACCUUUACUGACUGACUAUUUCAGCUUCAUUUAGAAGUACCACCAACCCACAGCAUCUGUCAGGACACAGAUACGUUGGACAAAGCUCUUAGCAGCCRUCUCCCUGCCUGUCUUUAAGCUGGCACGGAGGCACUCUCCAA